rnacentral:tRNA from 1 species
GCUGGUGUAGCUCAGUCGGUAGAGCAGCUGAUUUGUAAUCAGCAGGUCGGGGGUUCGAAUCCGUUCACCAGCUCCA